rnacentral:siRNA from 1 species
AAGCGGUCUCAUUGCAAUGGU